AUGAAACUUAAAAGUAUAAUAAGCAAAUUACCAGUACAACAAACCCAUAAAUGUAUGGGGAAAAGGAAUAUUUGUAAUGUUUACUCAAAAACAAAAUUUAUUAAUUCUAUGACAUAUAAAACCGGAGCCAUUGUAUCAGACUUAGAUAAAAAAAAAGUACAAAAAAGGACAUAUUUGCAUUUUGCUCGAACUUUACCAGAAGACUAUGAGUUACCGUUAGAUACUUUUCCUGAGGAUAUAAAUAAAAUAUUAAAAAGUGACAAAAAAACUCUUGAUUUUAUACAAAGUUAUUGGUAUUGGAAAAUUAGAAGUGAAAGUAAUUUAUUAAAUUAUGAAAAACUGAUAAAAAAAUCAUAUAAGCAAUUAGCUAUUGAUUUAGGAAUGCAAAUUGCGAACCCAGAUAACGAACAUAUGUUGGCUCUACUCGAAUUUUAUGAAUAUUUAAAAUCGUCACCAUUUGUUGGACCCUUUGGAACAGUAGAGAAUCCUGUACUUGUACCGAGUGUACAUACAGAAAGAGUAGUUUGCUGUACUGGUGGAACAGGUGAAAACGAACAUGUACCAUUGUAUUUUCGUUGUCGUGAAGGUUUUUUAUAUAGAUGUGGAGAAUGUGAUCAAAUAUUUAUGCAUGUACGAGUGUUAUAUUCGUUAGAAGAUGGUAAUGAUCCUUUCCCUAACGACCCAGAUGUUGAUGAUGUAUUUGAUUUAAAUUUAAUAGAAGAAAAUAUGAAAAUAUAUAACGACGAUAAUUAUGUUCGCUGGCCGACAGGUAAUGUAGCAUAUAGAAAACUGUUUAUACAAGGUGUUUGGGGAAAUGAAAAACCAAAAACUACUGCUAAUGUAGAUUCCUCUUAAUAAAUUUAAUUAUACAAAAAAAAAAAAAAAAAAAAAAAAAAAAAAAAAAAAAAAAAAAAAAAAUGUUAUACAACUAUAAUAUAAAAAUAAGGAGAAUUAGAAGAUGUAAUAGAAAGAAGAUUUGGUGAAGAAAAAGUGAACUCACAAAUAUUGAAGUUAUCUCAUGUGUUGAAUAUGUACAUUUGUUUUAUAUAUGCAUUUGUUUUAUAUAUGCAUUUGUUUUAUANNNNNNNNNNUUUGUUUUAUAUAUGCAUUUGUUUUAUAUAUGCAUUUGUUUUAUAUACGCAUUUGUUUUAUAUGUACAUAUGCUUAUAUGUAUAGUUCGACUUACAUAUAACAAUAGCACACCUCCACAUAUACAUAUGUGUGGAUUUAUUUGUAUACGUGCAUAUACGUAUGUAUCUACAUACAUAAUUAUAUAAUACAUUUUUUUUCUGUUUAUUUUAAAAAAAAUGUUGUUUUUUUAUUAUUUUUUUUUUUUUAUAAAAGGCUUAUGUUAUAUAAUUUUAUAGGAAUAUAAAAUAAAUAAACGAAACAAUAUUAGGUGUUAUGUUGA
rnacentral:lncRNA from 1 species